CUACAGCUUCAGGCACCAUGUCCUCAAAUCUUGUUUAAAGAGACGGGGUCCCCCUAUGUUGCCCAGGCUCCUGCUGAUACCUUACUCUACAUUCCUAGCCUCUCAGCAGCAUCUGCCACACUCUCCUCAAUGAGUUGCUUCCCAGCGGCACCCAGAUAUGCCAUGUUUGCAGUUUAGGCUGUGGCAGCAAUGAACAGAGCCUGCCUGAGGACCAGCAAUGGCUUCCUGUCACCUGAAGGGAAAAGGAAAGGAAAUGUGCAUGGUUGCUGAACCUGAACCUGAAUCGAGAAUUCUGCUCCUUUAUCAGGCAGCUAGCUGGAGCAUGGCCAAGGGUUUCUGGAUUCAGGUGGAGAGGCCUCUAAUGAGUCCUGGCACUAAUGUGUGAGCCCGGGGCUGGGAGUCACUGAACCUUAUGGGGCUUCCUCCCAGUCUGUAGAAUGGGGAUGAUUAAGGGAAGACCGCUUGGGCCAGGGAUCACGGUGAGGAUCACAGUGAGCAGAAGUGAGAUUCUGAUAUUCUUUGGAUACUCACACUGGGGCAGGGAGUGGGGGUGGGAAGGGAAGUACAGCAUUUUUAUUUCUUCCUAUCCUGGGGUUAUAUAUGACCAUCCUGAGAACAAAAAUAAUGGGCCGGGCGUGGUGGCUC
rnacentral:lncRNA from 10 species